CCUACGGCGAGCAGCAGUGGGGACUAUUGCACAAUGGGGGAAACCCUGAUGCAGCGACGCCGCGUGAGUGAAGAAGUAUCUCGGUACGUAAAGCUCUAUCAGCAGGGAAGAAAAUGACGGUACCUGACUAAGACGCCCCGGCUAACUCCGUUCCAGCCGCCGCGGUAAUGCGUAGGGGGAAAGCGGUAUCCGGAUUUACUGGGUGUACAGGGAGCGUAGACGGCAGCACAAGUCUGGAGUGAAAUCCCGGGGCGUAACCCCGGAACUGCUUUGGAAACUGGGCGGCUGGAGUGCAGGAGGGGUAAGCGGAAUUCCUAGUGUAGCGGUGAAAUGCGUAGAUAUGAGGAGGAACACCGGUGGCGAAGGCGGCUUACUGGACUGUAACUGACGUUGAGGCUCGAAAGCGUGGGGAGCAAACAGGAUUAGAUACCCCUGUAGUC
rnacentral:rRNA from 1 species